UGCAAUGUUUUAGCAUUGCAGAAAACGAAAAACAGUGAGUUACUAGUUUUAUGAUCAUGAACAUAUGUUUGAGCUUCUAAGUGUGGUGGGGAAGCCCAUUACUUUCCCUAAUAAUUAUGUGGGUCGUAAGCCAAUUGGCUGUCAUUAUGGGGAUAUAAAGGGCGGUAGACCUGUGCUUGAGGUCAGCGUCAUUGUCAACGUCACUAACGCGUCGCGAACGCUGUACUGUGGCUGCUUCCGGCAUCAGGUGUGGACAUUGGAGAGAGUAAGCUCCGAUUGCAUGAUUGCCUUUCCCUCGCGUAUCGUUCGAAUCAGCUGUUCUGUUUCUCGUGCGGGUCUCGCACUGCUGCUGUGGCUGCCGUUGUUGUGUGUGACUAUGCAUACAUCAGAUGCGUCAUCGGUGCUCCCCUUGAAAUAUUGAAAGUGUUGACUGCUAGUCCGGGCGCGUUUCACGUCCUGCCCACGGAUAACACUGCUGUUUUGUUUUGUGUUGAUUUUGUUUUAUAGUUUGUUUUGUUUGUCUUUAUUUAUAUUUGGUUAAAAGUGAUAUUCUCUGCUCUUCUUUGUCUUCGUAUUUUCUAUUAGUUUUCUGUGUAUUUAUUUUUAGUUGAUUCCUAUUUUUCAAAGAACCUUAUCCUCGUUCUUGGGUUUAUUUUGCAGCUCAUCAUUUUGUUGGCUGUUUGAUUAAUUGUAUAUUUUGUUAAAUGUGAUUUUUCUCCUUUUGUAUUUUUCUAGUUGUAUUUUUGUUUUGCUGUUUUCUUUUUUUUGUAAACUGUUAAAAAUUAACUGUUUCUAUUGUGCAUCUUCUUGAUUUUUUUGAACUUAUUCGUUGUUAUUUGAGGGCAAAUAGGCCUUGUCCAUUUCUUUUGCAGUUUGGUUAAUUCUUAUUGUUUGUGUUUUGUCAAUUAGUUUAAAUUAACAUGAGGGCAGUUCAGUGUCAUGUUUAAUAAUUCUGUGUGUAUCUUAGUGAUUCUUUAUUGAGAUUGCUCUGUUUUUGUGUCACAGGAUCUGGGUGCCAAAGGCAGGGAGGCCGGCUCUAUUCCCUUCUAGUGGUGGUGGUGUUAUUCACAGUGUGCUGUGUCCAUCGGUGGAAAGUGGUGUGUGUGUGUGUGUUUGCGUGCACUGGUAAAAGGAAUUAUUUUUGACAGCCUGACCCUGCUGGUAAGCCCCAGUUAGCUGGUGUUCCUGUGACAUUUGUAGAGCUAAACUUUUAUGAUGCGCUGUGGUUUGGCUGAGGCCGAUAUGUUUUAAUGAUUGUUUUAAAGGGACUCUGAUUUAAUAAAGUAAAUGGUUUUGUAUUGUUGCCCAUGUCUCUGAGCGUUUAUUUGGUGGACGAACUUGCGUGUCCUUUAGAGGGACCAAUUUCUCUGGGUGGGAUUUCCAGAGUGGCGUAGUUUGGCAAAAUUAUCCUUUACAUACACCCGUGGGUUGCCACAUAAGCAUAAAACGCUCAGUUUAGCGCUUCUGUGUAGAGUAACACUCUGUUAGUGCAACUAAGCAAAUGAACAGAAAGAAAGCAAAGAAGUGCUGAAAACCUUCUUUCUCUGUUAGAGAAUGAUAGUUUGAACAAAGUUAUAACUAAAGCUUGCCCACAUUAAAGAUGUUUC
ensembl:lncRNA